AACCAAUGAUGUGAUGAUUCUGUCAAAUGAAAUAAAGUGAUAUCAUUUAUAAAACCAAUCCAUUUUGAUUCUGAGGUU
rnacentral:snoRNA from 1 species